UCCCUGGUGGCUCAGACAGUAAAGCCUCUGCCUGCAAUGCAGGAGACCCGGGUUCGAUCCCUGGGCUGGGAA
rnacentral:tRNA from 1 species